UAAAGGUGACAGUCCAUUUCCAACUGCAGCUGCACUACCGUUGCGACAUUACUGGUGCGACAUUACUGCAGCGGCCGACUGCUGCUGUUUGCGGCGUGCAGUCGCGGCAGCGUUCGUCAGUUGAUUGUCAAAGUCAAUGAAUAAUGUCACUGUCAGACGUAUAAAUAAAAUUACUAAUUUACUUAUUUGUAUUUUUUACGAGAAGAAGUAAGUGACGAUAAUGCUACAUGGUACACGAAAAUGAAAAACAGUUUGCCUUUCUACAAAAGUCACAUUCAGUCGAAGGCAGCUACGCAAUAUUAUUAAAAAACCAGAUAUUGUUGGUGAUCGUUUGUUUGCCGAUUAAAUGAAUAACAAUUUAACUUCAAAUUGAAGAAAUACAACCAAAUUACUCGAAUUAAAUGAAUGCAGAGGAGAAAUAUUUCUUCACUUAAGGUGUCCAUGGGCGACGGCACUCGUGGUCGUGGCAGAUACAGUGUAUGACUAGACCAUAUAAAACUUGAUGGGCGAGACAAGAAAUCCUUUAUGAAGAAAGCUAUUUACGUUAGCCAAGGGGCUGAUAGAAAGAAUAUUUAAUAAAUUAAUUGGAAUAAUAAAUAUUUUCCUCGUGAUGGUGUGAUAAAAUAAAUUCGUGUUGCGCUCUGUAGCAAAGUUUGUUUAACCCUCAUGCCUUGAAGUCCCCGCAACUGUCAAUACAAUUUUAUUUUAAAACCGCUGUCGCUUCUCUUGUGGUUCAAUUUUGUAAUUUUUCUUACGUUUGAGUAUCCAUAUGCUACCAUGAGGUGUUAAACAACAACUUUGCCUUUUGUAUUUCUAGGUAAUACAACUGAAUUAUUGCUUCCUUUAUCUCAGAAAUGGCUUUGAAAUGACAAAGUGAGAAAGUGUCACGAUAUUAUACACCGUGGGCUGGUAAAACCUGAUAGAUUUAAAGUUGUAUUCUUAAUCGCAUUUAGAGGCUAAAAUAUCAUACAAAUUUUCUGUAAUCGGUCUUCUUUCAGAGAUAAUGGCAAUUUUUGCGAAAAUUUGUUUCUGCAAUAACUUUGUGAAAAACGCCUUUUUCGCUGCGGCGCUGCCUCUAUGUGACUUGGUUUAGUCAUACCUUCUGACAAACAUUACUCAACUAAAAAGAACACUCGCAAUUUUGAUCUAUAGAUGAAUUAAGAAAACUUUACUUCUUCGUUGUAAUGUUUUUUUUUUCGCCAAGAUGUAGAAAGAAAUAACGUGCUGUGUGCAGAAAAUAGCUUUUAAAUCGGCUAAAAGAAAAAACAGAACAUUUUUUUCCGAAUUUUACUAAACAUUUUUUGAUCCUCAGGAAUGCGUUUAAGAUCUGUCGGAUUUUACCAACCCACGGUGUAUAUAAUAUGAUAUUACGACACUUUCACAUUUUAUCACGCCAAAUUCACGUACGGUACUGUCAGCGAGAAUUCAGUAAUUAAUCCUGUUAAAUAUAAGCAUCACUGAAACUCCUAAGCACGCCUCCAACUCCAGAAGUGAUACAUGCGCGUUGCCGACCCUUUAAAAACCUGUACACUUCUUUUUUCAAGAACCCCUACUGUAGACCUUCAGAAAAACCUCGGCAGGGAGCUCAUACUAAAGCCGGAGCGCCCGCGGGAGGAAAUUCCUCUUAAGCCGCACAGUGCGCGACCAUUGUUGCCACUAAAAAAUGUAAUCUACUGUGGUUUCGUAGUAUCCUAACACAAAUACAGAGGAUACAGAGUAAGCUAUUUCAUUCGAAACAUUUUCUCAGUCAAAAUUUGGAAAAAGAGAGAAAGAGGAAAGAGAGAGGAAAUUGCAUACGACCACUCCGUUCAGUAUUACAAUCAUCAUAGAAAUAUUAUGUUGUCACAUUUUUAUGCUAUGUGUACAUGAUUGUACGAUAAUGGUUAGCAUACCUACAUCGAUCUUAUUCUAACACAUAAGUGCGUCCUGUAAUUUAGUAGUAGUAGUAGUAAAACUUUUUAUUGUACAAAAAUGAACACAAAACAGGAAAAAAACACUCAUCAUUAAUACAAAGGCGACCUAGUUUUCCAGUUUUUUCACUAUUAUUAGUUUGUAAAUAAUUUAUAUAUACAUACAUACAUACAUAGCUACUAUCUACUUAUUGCCUACCAUGAAAAUCUUAAUUUGAAAAUCGUAUAUUUGCCUCUCUAUCGUUCUUGCCCUUUCGAGCUUAUAGCUGUUCUCGGAAAACUACGAAAAAAGGAAAGAACUGUUUAUUUAAUGAAUUUAUCAGGAAACAUUUAAAAAAACAAUAAGAGCAACGCCAAGAUACAGAGGAACUACCGCGAAACACAGAAACUAUCGGGGUUGUUUAUCCGCGGGUGUAUUAAACUCCUUAUAUUGUAGUGGUUAUAUCCUCUUUGCUUAGAGCUACUAUAUCUGUGACCAAAGACAUUUCUGUAAAGAUUUGACGUGCGGUUCGCAGUUGCGGUCGUAUGUACACCAAACACUAAAAAUCACCAUGCUACGUGCAGUCGGUCUUGUCAUCAUUUUACUAUGGAAUUUGACAAUAACACUGACGUAUUCAGGCCGCUGCAGUAAUGUCGGAGCAGUAGUGCAGCUGCGGUCGGAAAUACGUUAAAAUUACCAUAUUACGUGCAGUCGGUACCGUCAUUGAUUUUACUAUGGAAAUUGACAAUAACACCGACGCGUUCAGGCCGCUGCAGUAAUGUCGGAGCAGUAGUGCAGCUGCGGUCAGAAAU